CCGAACCGACCUCCGUUGAAAAGGCGGCGGAUGAAUUGUGGGUAGCGGAGAAAUUCCAAUCGAACUCGGAGAUAGCUGGUUCUCCCCGAAAUAGCUUUAGGGCUAGCCUCAUAUUAGAUACCCGGAGGUAAAGCACUGAAUGGCCUAGCGCCCGAGAGGGUAGCGAAGCCUAUCAAACUAAGAAUGCCGGAGUAUUGAUGUAUGGGAGUCAGACAGUGUGAGAUAAAUCUCAUUGUCAAAAGGGAAACAGCCCAGAUCUACAGCUAAGGUCCCAAAUUGUAUCUAAGUGGAAAACGAUGUGGAAAUACGCAGACAACCAGGAUGUUGGCUCAGAAGCAGCCACUCAUUUAAAGAGUGCGUAAUAGCUCACUGGUCGAGCGUCUCUGCGCGGAAAAUUUAACGGGGCUAAGAUACAAACCGAAGCUUAGGCUGCACGUAAGUGCGGGGUAGGGGAGCGUUGUGUAAGCGGAGAAACAGUAGCGUAAGCGGCUGUGGAGUUUACAGAAGUGAGAAUGCCGGAAUGAGUAGCGCGAAUGUGGUGAGAAUCCACAUGGCCGGAAACCUCAGGUUUUUGGAGGAAGGUUCGUCCGCUCCAAGUUAGGCGGGAGCUAAGGUAAGGCCGAAAGGCGUAGCCGAUGCACAGACGGUAGAGAUUCCGUCCCCACCGAAAGAUUUAAGCACAGGGACACUUUUUGAAGGUCGGAGCCAGGUGUUGGUUCUGGUAGUGAUCGAGGGAAAUAUAGUACCGAAGUCCGGCUGGAAGAGAGGCGAGAAAAGCUGUGUGUAUAUCUAAGGUGCCCGUACCGCAAACCGACACAGGUAGGUAGGAAGAAGAUUCUAAGGCCAACGGGAGAAGGGUUGUUAAGGAACUCGGCAAGUUGACCCCGUAACUUCGGAAUAAGGGGUGCUCACGAGAGUGAGCCGCAGAGAAUAGGCCCAGGCAACUGUUUACCAAAAACACAGGUUUGUGCUAAAUCGAAAGAUGACGUAUACGAGCUGACGCCUGCCCGGUGCUGGAAGGUUAAAAGGAGAUGUGCAAGCAUUGAAUUGAAGCCCCAGUGAACGGCGGCCGUAACUAUAACGGUCCUAAGGUAGCGAAAUUCCUUGUCAGGUAAGUUCUGACCCGCAUGAAAGGCGUAAUGAUCUGGGCACUGUCUCAACAGCCCGCCCGGCGAAAUUGUAGUACCGGUGAAGAUGCCGGUUACCCGCGACAAGACGGAAAGACCCCAUGGAGCUUUACUGUAGCCUGAUAUUGGGUUUCGGUGUUGCAUGCACAGGAUAGAUGGGACACUGGGAAGGCAGUGCUUUGGCAUUGCUGGAGUGGACGUUGGGAUACCAUCCUUGCGACAUUGGAAUUCUAACCUGCGCCUCUGAAUCGAGGCGGGGGACAUUGUCAGGUGGGCAGUUUGACUGGGGCGGUCGCCUCCUAAAAAGUAGCGGAGGCGUUCAAAGGUUCGUUCGAUCUGGACGGAAACCAGAUGAUUGAGUGCAAACGCAUAAACGAGCCUGACUGCGAGACUGACGGGUCGAGCAGAGACGAAAGUCGGAGUUAGUGAUCCGGUGGUAUGUGAGUGGAAAUGCCAUCGCUCAACGGAUA
rnacentral:rRNA from 1 species